rnacentral:rRNA from 1 species
UACAGAGGGUGCAAGCGUUAAUCGGAAUUACUGGGCGUAAAGCGUGCGUAGGCGGCUUUGCAAGUCGGGUGUGAAAGUCCCCAGGCUUAACCUGGGAACUGCAUUUGUGACUGCACGGCUAGAGUGUGUCAGAGGGGGGUAGAAUUCCACGUGUAGCAGUGAAAUGCGUAGAGAUGUGGGAGGAAUACCGAUGGCGAAGGCAGCCCCCUGGGUCAAUACUGGACGCUCAUGCACGAAAGCGUGGGGAGCAAACAGG